GCUACACGUCUAGAGCUGUGCACAUCACUGUAAAUAAGUCUGCAGACUCUGAAAGUUGCAUACAUCAAAGUGAAUUCAAACCAGUUGCAGGUGGGUGAGUUUCUCUGCUGUGAAGAGGCUCCUGGCUGUGAAUAAACAUAAAGCAAAGGAAACGCUGGAAUCUGUUUCUGCUGUGCAGCAAGCUCUGGUUCACUGUCAUCUCAAGGAUUUUGCUAAAGGACUUUCUGUAUGGUGAAAAUCACUUCCUGUCACCUCCUUUCUGUUGCUGGAGUAGCAAAAAGAAAUAAUUUCCCAAUACUUUAGAAGAGACAAAAAGACAAGGACCAAAUACAUUCCAAACCGGAGAAACCAAAAAGGUCAUCAGAUUAACAUACCGUGCAGUACAGACCUCAGAAGAUGCCUUCUUUUCCGCUUUUAAAUAUGUUUGGCAGACAGCUGACCAAAAUGAGUAUUGUGACCUCAUUUCCAAUUAGCUUUUUGUUAGUGGGUUUGCAGGCAAUUGUGGAUGUAAAAUUUUCAUGCCCAUGCAAAGCUGACCGGAACAAAGCUAUAUCAGCUUUCAUCUUCAUUGUUCCAGCUCUCUUUGCUUUCGUUAUAAUGUUCGUAUUGUUAAGGCCUUGUCAAUAUAAAUGUAGAUGUAAAAAACAAAACAACACUGAAACAUCUCAAGGAAAAGACACCAAAGAAACAUCUCAAGGACAGGACAACAGUGAAACAUCUCUAGAAAAAGUUUUUGUAGUUUGUUGUAUUCCAGGUAUUGUGUGGAUCUGUAUAUGUUUCAUUGAUGGUGAUUAUUUUGCAUGUGGAUUAACAAACUGGACUGGACGCUAUGCCUGUGAUAAUGAACUGCAUCCAAAUUGUUUGAAUUGGUGCAAACCCACUGAAUUAAGCCCAGAAGAAUAUGAGACUGAAUAUUACGAAAAAACACGGGAGUUGAUAUUUACAUCAAAGAUUAUAGGUUAUAUUCUGGCUAUUAUCUUCUGCAUCAUAGCAAUCAUUUGGGUGAGUUGGGAAGCCUUAGCAAAGCCAAAGAAGAAAGGUGUGGCAAGUUCGAUGAGCAACGCUAAAAGCGCAGAUGAGGCAGAAACAUCCUUAAGUGACGACCCAGCAGAGACAAAGACAGUCACGAAAGACGGGGCAAGUCAAACAAUCAUUCAGAUGAUCAACAUUAAAUGGGCAACUGAGGAUACAAUUCUCAUAAAGACAUCUUGUGACCAAAGUUUGGAUGAAUCUUUUUGAAUGAGACCUGACUUCAUGAGGGGAUCAGCGGAAAGAUUUUCAGUGAAUAACAGAUAAAAUUUCACUCUCUUCCUCAUACAAAAUAUGCCAUCAGAGCACUUGAAAUGCAGCAAGUUAUUUGGACUAUUUUUGUACUGAUUGUUUUAUUUUUAAUUUUUAUAAACGACCCAUAAAAAGAGAAAGAUCCUUUGCAAGCUGCAGAAAGAUGUAAAUAAUAGAGUUCAGGUUUGUAUGUUCCAUUCAUGUUCUCUUCCAAAGAUUCUUUUCCUGUUUAUGAUUUUUGUUUUAUUUGAGAGAUUUUUUUAUUGUGUUAAUUUCUAUUUGUUUCAGUUAAAUGAUUGUCUGUUGUUUUUAAAGCUGCUGUCCGUAACUUUUUUUGGUUAAAAAUGAUCCAAAAUCAAUUAUUGAGCAAGUACAGUACAUAACCAGCCAGUGUUCAAAACUAUUUCCUUACCUUAACCCGAUUCACAACGGUAAGCUUGUAAUAAUGUUUUGUAAUCUGAUACUGGUAGGAAUUUGGGGGAAAUACGAGUUUGCUGACAUUUGUCUUUGCAUCAAUACGUCAUGUCUGUAAACAGAAAGAAGGAGUCCUGGCUAGUUGGCUAUGUCGCAUGUGUGGAUGCUGCUGGUGGUGCAUCAGUUGUAGCCUCUUCUUGCAGCAGCUGCAAUGUAUUUAAACUUGAGAUGGUGGCUUGUAAUCCAGAAAGUUCAAAACGACAAUCAUCAUCAACAACUGUGGUAAAAAAAGUAAAAGACUUUAAUCUUCCUUGCUGGACAGGUAAGAUAUUUAAAUGGUUCACUGGGUAAUAAGGUUACAGUAGCACAUGUUUUCGCUUAAUCCAUACAGUUAUGGAUAACGAUAAUACACACUAAAUACACGUAGUCACGCAGUGUUAAUGUUUUUAGCAUUAACAAUUCGAGAACAAAGUAAAACAAUAAUAAUUUAGCUGCAGCUGCACCUCAAAACAUUAGAUUCAUCCGCGCUGAGGAGCCGUGCCGAAGCACUACCCACGUAAAGAUAAUUCCACAAAUCACUGCAAUUGCAGGUUUCAAACAGAGAUGGCGACAAAGAGGCAAAACUUACGGACUGCAGCUUUAAAGGAACACCCCACUUUUUUUGAAAAUAGGCUCAUUUUCCAACUCCCCUAUAGUUAAACAGUUGAGUUUUACCGUUUUCGAAUCCAUUCAGCCGAUCUCCGGGUCUGGCGGUACCACUUUUAGCAUAGCUUAGCAUAGUUCAUUGAAUCUGAUUAGACCGUUAGCAUCUCGCACAAAAAUGACCAAAGAGUUUCGAUAUUUUUCCUAUUUAAAACUUGACUCUUCUGUAGUUACAUCGUGUACUAAGACCGACGGAAAAUGAA